rnacentral:lncRNA from 1 species
CUGCCAUGUUGAUGUAUUACAAGUUGGAGGGGAAGGAGGAUUAUGCAAAUCAAAUCCCAGCUUAUGCGGUGAUGUUUUUACACCAGAAACAUGAGUUGAUGAGGUAACUAAGCAAUUGGUAGAAAUAUUUAUAUCAAAGUGUCUCCAAGUCUGUCCAGAAGAUGUAUUACAAGCUGGAGGGGAAGGAGGAUUAUGCAAAUCAAAGCCCAGCUUAUGUGGUGAUGUUUUUGUACCAGAAACAUGAGCUGGUGUGUUAACCAAGCAAUCAGAAGAACUAUUUACAGUAGGGUGACUCCAGGUCUGUCCAGAUGAUGUAUUACAUGCAGGAGGGGAGGGAGGAUUAUGCAAAUCAAAUCCUAGCUUAUGUGGUGAUGUUUUUGUACCAGAGGCAUGAGCUGACGUGGUAACCAAGCAAUUGGAAGGGCUAUUAACAUGAGGGGGUCUCCAGGUCUGUCCAGAUGAUGUAUUACAUGCUGGAGGGGAAGGAGAAUUAUGUAAAUCAAAUCCCAGCUUAUGUGGUGAUGUUUUUUUAUCCGAUACAUGAGCUGACGUGGCAACCAGGCAAUCCGAAGAGCUAUUAACAUUAGGGUGUCUCCAGGUCUGUCCAGAAGAUUGCCCUGCAUUCUCUUCACUAUCUGAUGGCUUCUGAUAACUUUGCCCACUAUUACUCUGCCCAUCCACUGUUCUGUUUGAGCCAUUAUUUCCAUUAUCUUGAGAGUUUCCCACAAUCCCAUGAUCUUUCCUU